AUUGAACGCUGGCGGCAUGCUUUACACAUGCAAGUCGAACGGUAACAGGCCGCAAGGUGCUGACGAGUGGCGAACGGGUGAGUAAUGCAUCGGAACGUGCCCUGUCGUGGGGGAUAACGCAGCGAAAGCUGCGCUAAUACCGCAUACGAUCUAUGGAUGAAAGCGGGGGACCGUAAGGCCUCGCGCGAUUGGAGCGGCCGAUGUCAGAUUAGGUAGUUGGUGGGGUAAAGGCUCACCAAGCCAACGAUCUGUAGCUGGUAUGAGAGGACGACCAGCCACACUGGGACUGAGACACGGCCCAGACUCCUACGGGAGGCAGCAGUGGGGAAUUUUGGACAAUGGGCGCAAGCCUGAUCCAGCAAUGCCGCGUGCAGGAAGAAGGCCUUCGGGUUGUAAACUGCUUUUGUACGGAACGAAACGGUCCUGGUUAAUACCUGGGGCUAAUGACGGUACCGUAAGAAUAAGCACCGGCUAACUACGUGCCAGCAGCCGCCGUAA
rnacentral:rRNA from 1 species